AAAUAAAUUUUUUAUAGUUUAAUAAUUUUAUUAUAAAUUUAUUUUGCAUAUAAAUUUUUGUGAAAAUUAUUAAUUAUUUUAAUAAUAAUUAAUUUAAAUUUUGUAGUAAUUAAUAUUAAAAAUUUAAGAAAUUAAGAUUUAGUAAUAUUUACAUUUAAUAACAAAUUUUGUGCCAGCAGUUGCGGUUAAACAAAAGUUAAAUUAAAUUUUAUUAGUAAUUAAUAAAUAAUAAAUAAAUUUUAAUUAAAUAUUAGAUUAUUAGGUGAAAUUUUAAUUUAAUAAAAAUUAAUAUAAAUUUUAUAAUUUAAUAAAUUUUAUUUAUAAACUAGGAUUAGAUACCCUAUUAUUAAAAAUUUAAAUUAAUAAUACUAAAAUAGUAUAUAAUUAUUUAUAGAAACUUAAAUAAUUUGGCGGUAUUUUAGUUCAUUUAGAGGAAUCUGUUUAAUAAUUGAUAAUCCACGAAUAAAUUUACUUAAUUUAUUAUUUUGUAUAUCGUUGUUAUAAAAAUAUUUUUAAAUAAAAAAUAAUAUUUUAAAUUUAUAAUAAAAAUUAAAUCAGAUCAAGAUGCAGAUUAUAAUUAAGAAUAUAAUGGAUUACAAUAAAUUUAUUUAAAUUAAUUUUAAUUUUAAAAAAUUAAAUGAGAGUGGAUUUAAAUGUAAUUUUAUUUAGUUUAUUAAAAUGAUUAAAAAUUAAAAUAUGUACAUAUUGCCCGUCGCUUUCAUAAAUAAAUUGAAAUAAGUCGUAACAAAGUAGAGGUACUGGAAAGUGUUUCUAGAAAUUU
rnacentral:ncRNA from 1 species